UACGGAGGUGGCAAGCGUUGUUCGGAAUUACUGGGCGUAAAGGGCGCGUAGGCGGCAAGGCAAGUCAGGUGUGAAAGCCCCGAGCUUAACUUCGGAACUGCCAUUGAUACUGUAAGUCUUGAGUACACUUGAGGUGGGCGGAAUACAUCAUGUAGUGGUGAAAUACUUAGAUAUGAAGUAGAACACCGAUUGCGAAGGCAGCUCACUAAAUUGUAACUGACGCUGAGGCACGAAAGCGUGGGGAUCAAACAGG
rnacentral:rRNA from 1 species